CCUACGGGUGACAGCAGUGGGGAAUAUUGGGCAAUGGGCGCAAGCCUGACCCAGCCACGCCGCGUGAAGGAAGAAGGCUCUCGGGUUGUAAACUUCCUUUUACAGGGAAGAGCAGCACACGGUACCUGUCGACUUACCCACGGCUAACUACGUGCCAUCAGCCGCGUCAAUACGUAGGGGGCCAGCGAUAUCCGGAUUUCCUGGGUGGAACGGGGGCGAAGACGGGGAUGCAAGCGAGGAGUGAACGCCCGGGGCCCAACCCCGGGACUGCUCUUGGAACUGCGUGGCUAGAGUGCAGGAGGGGCAGGCGGAAUGCGUGGUGUAGCGGUGAAAUGCGUAGAUAUCAGGAGGAACACCGGGGGCGAAGGCGGCCUGCUGGACUGAAACUGACGUUGAGGCCCGAAAGCGUGGGGAGCAAACAGGAUUAGAUACCCUGGUAGUC
rnacentral:rRNA from 1 species